GCCGUGGGCUCUAAACAAUGCGAGGAUUGAGUCAGGGUUUUGUGAGUCGGUGAGACAAACUCGGGUGGAGAUGCUGGAAGCGGUUUCAGGGGAGAAGUUGAAGUUGUUGAUGAGGUAGUUGGUGGUGAAUGAGUGUUGUUUGGAGGAGGAAAAGUGGUGAAGAAAUGAGGGGGUUUUGAUGAUGGUGAUGUUGAGGUGAAGUUGAUAAAGGAUGGGGCCUUUCAUGUUGAGGUUAAGGUCCAUGUGAUUCGCUGCAAUGGAGUAUAAGAUUGUGGUGGCUGGGUUUGAUAAUGCUGCAAAGAUCACCACCAUUUAUAAAUUGCAUUUGGUGCAUAUGACUAUGGCUGAGGUUUGGCACCAGAAAUAGUUCCUUCAACGGUGGCUGCUGGCUGGGUGACAGGGUUUUCAUGCUGC